rnacentral:rRNA from 1 species
CCCUUAGAUGUUCUGGGCCGCACGCGUGCUACACUGAGUGGAUCAGCGGGUCAGGUUGCGCGAAAGCGUUUCCUAAUCUUUAAAUCCGCUCGUGAUGGGGAUUGACGGUUGCAAUUUUCUGUCAUGAACGAGGAAUACCUUGUAAGCGCGGGUCAUCAUCCCGCGCUGAAUACGUCCCUGCCCUUUGUACACACCGCCCGUCGCUCCUACCGAUUGAGUGGUCCGGUGAGGCUUUGGGAUCCGAGCGGAAAGAGCGUUUCGCUGUUUCUGCUCGGAAAACUCAGUCGAACCUUAUCAUUUAGAGGAAGGAGAAGUCGUAACA